GAAAAAUCCUGCGGGAAAAAAAGUUUGCCCAUGGAGGUGCUGGGCACUGUGUGCGUCCAUGACCCAUCUAUACUCCAGCAUGAACCGGACAUGCGCACAAAGUGCACGUCCCCUCCGAAUGCACGCACGCAUGGGACGUGCACACAAUGUGCACGUCCCGUCCACUCACACGGUGCAGGGUUAAACCUACGUGCGUGUCCUGCCGCAUGCAGGUAGGCCAUUCGCGUGUCACUUUGUGCACGGACUGGUGCCGCACACUGUGCAUACACCAUUUGCACUGCAGGCCUAGGCAGACGAGCCUUGUGAGCUU
rnacentral:lncRNA from 1 species